UGGGGGAUAUUGCGCAAUGGGGGCAACCCUGACGCAGCAAUGCCGCGUGAAGGAUGAAGGUCUUCGGAUCGUAAACUUUUGUCUUCAGGGACGAUAAUGACGGUACCUGAGGAGGAAGCCACGGCUAACUACGUGCCAGCAGCCGCGGUAAUACGUAGGUGGCAAGCGUUGUCCGGAUUUACUGGGUGUAAAGGGCGUGUAGGCGGGAUGGUAGGUCAGAUGUGAAAUACCCGGGCUCAACCCGGGGGCUGCAUUUGAAACCAUCAUUCUUGAGUGCCGGAGAGGGAAGCGGAAUUCCUAGUGUAGCGGUGAAAUGCGUAGAUAUUAGGAGGAACACCAGUGGCGAAGGCGGCUUUCUGGACGGUAACUGACGCUGAGGCGCGAAAGCGUGGGGAGCAAACAGG
rnacentral:rRNA from 1 species